rnacentral:rRNA from 1 species
UACGUAGGUGGCAAGCGUUAUCCGGAAUUACUGGGCGUAAAACGCACGCAGGCGGUCUUGUAAGUUUGACGUGAAAGCUCCCGGCUUAACUGGGAGAGGUCGUUGAAGACUGCAAGACUUGAGGAAAUGAGAGGGGUGUAGAAUUCCCGGUGUAGUGGUGGAAUGCGUAGAUAUCGGGGGGAAUACCAGUGGCGAAAGCGGCACCCUAGCAUUUUUCUGACGCUCAUGUGCGAAAGCGUGGGGAGCGAACGGG